UACGUAGGGUGCAAGCGUUAAUCGGAAUUACUGGGCGUAAAGCGUGCGCAGGCGGUUUUGUAAGUCUGUCGUGAAAUCCCCGGGCUCAACCUGGGAAUGGCGAUGGAGACUGCAAGGCUAGAGUUUGGCAGAGGGGGGUAGAAUUCCACGUGUAGCAGUGAAAUGCGUAGAGAUGUGGAGGAACACCGAUGGCGAAGGCAGCCCCCUGGGUCAAAACUGACGCUCAUGCACGAAAGCGUGGGGGAGCAAACAGG
rnacentral:rRNA from 1 species